UCAAGUGACUAAGUGCAUGUGGCGGAUGCCUUGGCGAUCACAGGCGAAGAAAGACGCGGCAGCCUGCGAAAAGCUGCGGGGAGCUGGCAAACGAGCUUUGAUCCGCAGAUAUCUGAAUGGGGGAACCCACACCGCAAGGUGUAUCCGUGACUGAAUACAUAGGUUACGGAGGCGAACGAGGAGAACUGAAACAUCUAAGUAUCCUCAGGAAAAGAAAUCAACCGAGAUUCCGGCAGUAGCGGCGAGCGAACCCGGAGGAGCCUAGCUUUUGAUAGUACGAACUUUAGCCGAAAGGUCCUGGAAAGGCCUGCUAUAGUGGGUGAUAGCCCCGUAGGCGAAAGAGUUCGUAUGGUACUAAGGAAGCGAGAAGUAGAGCGGGACACGUGGAAUCCUGUUCGAAGAUGGGGGGACCAUCCUCCAAGGCUAAAUACUCGUGAUCGACCGAUAGUGAACCAGUACCGUGAGGGAAAGGCGAAAAGAACCCCGGGAGGGGAGUGAAAUAGAACCUGAAACCGCAUGCAUACAAACAGUAGGAGCCUCACCAGAGGUGACUGCGUACCUUUUGCAUAAUGGGUCAGCGACUUACAUUCUGUGGCGAGCUUAACCGAAUAGGGGAGGCGCAGCGAAAGCGAGUUCGAAAUGAGCGUCCAGUCGCAGGGUGUAGACCCGAAACCAGAUGAGCUAUCCAUGGCCAGGUUGAAGGUGUGGUAACACACACUGGAGGACCGAACCGACUAGUGUUGCAAAAUUAGCGGAUGAGCUGUGGAUAGGGGUGAAAGGCCAAACAAAUCUGGAGAUAGCUGGUUCUCCCCGAAAACUAUUGAGGUAGUGCCUCGUGUGUCGCUCCAGGGGGUAGAGCACUGUUUUGGCUAGGGGGACAUGGAGUCUUACCAAACCAAGGCAAACUCCGAAUACCUGGAAGCGUAAGCACGGGAGACAGAGCACCGGGUGCUAACGUCCGGACUCAAAAGGGAAACAACCCAGACCGCCGGCUAAGGUCCCCAAUAACAGCUAAGUGGAAAACGAAGUGGAAAGGCCGUGACAACCAGGAAGUUGGCUUAGAAGCAGCCAUCCUUCAAAGAAAGCGUAAUAGCUCACUGGUCGAGUCCUUCUGCGCGGAAGAUGUAACGGGGCUAAGCUGUUAACCGAAGCCGCGGAUGCACUGAUUAUUCAGUGCGUGGUAGGGGAGCGUUCUGUAAGUCUGCGAAGGCGGUUCGAGAGGACUGCUGGAGAUAUCAGAAGUGCGAAUGCUGACAUGAGUAACGUUAAAGCAGGUGAAAAGCCUGCUCGCCGUAAGCCCAAGGAUUCCUGCUCUACGUUCAUCGGAGCAGGGUGAGUCGGCUCCUAAGGUCAGGCCGAAAGGCGUAGCCGAUGGGAAUCAGGUUAAUAUUCCUGAACCUGCGUCAGAUGCGAUGGGGGGACGGAGCAUGAAAGAUCAUCCGGGUGUUGGAUGUCCCGGUUGUUGAGCGUAGGAGGUCUGCAGGCAAAUCCGCAGACGCAUCUCCAAGGCAAAGACACGUGCCGCCACGGCGGCGAAGUGAUCGGAAGUGCUUCCAAGAAAAGCCUCUAAGCACCAGUCUGACGCGGACCGUACCGCAAACCGACACUGGUGGGCGAGCUGAAUAUGCUCAGGCGCUUGAGAGAACUCGGGAGAAGGAACUCGGCAAAUUGACACCGUAACUUCGGAAGAAGGUGUGCCGUAGUAGCGUGAGAGGAGAGACACCUUGAGCGUGAAUCGGUCUCAGAGAAUAGGUGGCUGCGACUGUUUAUUAAAAACACAGCACUCUGCAAAGUCGAAAGACGACGUAUAGGGUGUGAUGCCUGCCCGGUGCUGGAAGAUUAAUUGAUGGGGUGAGAGCCCUUGAUCGAAGUCCCAGUAAACGGCGGCCGUAACUAUAACGGUCCUAAGGUAGCGAAAUUCCUUGUC
rnacentral:rRNA from 1 species